GACGAACCGAGCGAACGUUGUUCGGAAUAACUGGGCUUAAAGGGCGCGUAGGCGGUCUGUUAAGUCGGGGGUGAAAUCCUGGGGCUCAACCUCAGAAUUGCCUCCGAUACUGGCAGUCUCGAGUGCGGGAGAGGUGAGUGGAAUUCCCAGUGUAGAGGUGAGAUUCGUAGAUAUUGGGAGGAACACCAGUGGCGAAGGCGGCUCACUGGACCGGUACUGACGCUGAGGCGCGAAAGCGUGGGGAGCAAACGGG
rnacentral:rRNA from 1 species